rnacentral:rRNA from 1 species
AUGCAGUCGAACGAUGAAGCCCAGCUUGCUGGGUGGAUUAGUGGCGAACGGGUGAGUAACACGUGGGUGAUCUGCCCUGCACUCUGGGAUAAGCCUGGGAAACUGGGUCUAAUACCGGAUAUGACCUCGGGAUGCAUGUUCUGGGGUGGAAAGUUUUUCGGUGCAGGAUGAGCCCGCGGCCUAUCAGCUUGUUGGUGGGGUAAUGGCCUACCAAGGCGACGACGGGUAGCCGGCCUGAGAGGGCGACCGGCCACACUGGGACUGAGACACGGCCCAGACUCCUACGGGAGGCAGCAGUGGGGAAUAUUGCACAAUGGGCGCAAGCCUGAUGCAGCGACGCCGCGUGAGGGAUGACGGCCUUCGGGUUGUAAACCUCUUUCACCCAUGACGAAGCGCAAGUGACGGUAGUGGGAGAAGAAGCACCGGCCAACUACGUGCCAGCAGCCGCGGUAAUACGUAGGGUGCGAGCGUUGUCCGGAAUUACUGGGCGUAAAGAGCUCGUAGGCGGUUUGUCGCGUCGUCUGUGAAAUCCCGCAGCUCAACUGCGGGCUUGCAGGCGAUACGGGCAGACUCGAGUACUGCAGGGGAGACUGGAAUUCCUGGUGUAGCGGUGAAAUGCGCAGAUAUCAGGAGGAACACCGGUGGCGAAGGCGGGUCUCUGGGCAGUAACUGACGCUGAGGAGCGAAAGCGUGGGUAGCGAACAGGAUUAGAUACCCUGGUAGUCCACGC